rnacentral:rRNA from 1 species
AUUGAACGCUGGCGGCAGGCUUAACACAUGCAAGUCGAGCGGAGACUUCGGUCUUAGCGGCGAACGGGUGAGGAACGCCUGGGAAUCUGCCUGUUAGUGGGGGAUAACGAAUCGAAAGGUUCGCUAAUACCGCAUACGUCCUACGGGAGAAAGCAGGGGACCUUCGGGCCUUGCGCUAACAGAUGAGCCCAGGUCGGAUUAGCUAGUAGGUGGGGUAAAGGCUCACCUAGGCGACGAUCCGUAGCUGGUCUGAGAGGAUGAUCAGCCACACUGGAACUGAGACACGGUCCAGACUCCUACGGGAGGCAGCAGUGGGGAAUAUUGGACAAUGGGCGAAAGCCUGAUCCAGCCAUGCCGCGUGUGUGAAGAA